rnacentral:rRNA from 1 species
GAUGAACGCUGGCGGCGUGCCUAACACAUGCAAGUCGAGCGAACAGACGAUGCGCUUGCUCUUCUCACGUUAGCGGCGGACGGGUGAGUAACACGUGGAUAACCCUCCUCUACGACUUGGAUAACUUCGGGAAACCGGAGCUAAUACCGGAUAAUAUAUUUAACCGCAUGGUUCAAUAGUUAAUUCCGUUUUUGCUGUCACUUCUACAUGUCUCCUCGCCGCUUUAGUUAGUUGGUAAGGUAACGGCUUACCAUGGCAACGAUGCGUAGCCGACCGGACAGGGUGAUCGGCCACACUGGAACUGAGACACGGUCCAGACUCCUACGGGAGGCAGCAGUAGGGAAUCUUGCGCAAUGGGCGGAAGCCUGACGGAGCAACGCCGCGUGGGUGAUGAAGGUCUUCGGGUCGUAAAACUCUGUUAUUGGGGAAGAACACAUGUGUAAGUAACUAUGCAUGUUUUGACGGUACCUAAUCAGAAAGCCCCGGCUAACUACGUG